GACAGAGGUGCCAAGCGUUAGGCGGAAUCACUGGGCUUAAAGCGUGUGUAGGCGGACUCGUAAGUACCUUGUGAAAUCCCACGGCUCAACCGUGGAACUGCUUGGCAUACUGGCGGUCUUGAGCAACCUAGGGGCGAGCGGAACAAAUGGUGGAGCGGUGAAAUGCGUAGAUAUCAUUGGAACGCCAAUGGUGAAAACAGCUCGCUGGGGGUUUGCUGACGCUGAGACACGAAAGCCAGGGGAGCAAACGGGG
rnacentral:rRNA from 1 species